UCUAGUGGUUAGGAUUCGGCGCU
rnacentral:piRNA from 4 species